CCUAUCAACUAUUGAUGGUAGUGUAGAGGACUACCAUGGUUGCGACGGGUAACGGGGAAUCAGGGUUCGAUUCCG
rnacentral:rRNA from 1 species